GACGAACCGAGCGACCGUUAUUCGGAAUCACUGGGCUUAAAGGGCGCGUAGGCGGGCCGGCGAGUCCGGGGUGAAAGCCCCCAGCCCAACUGGGGAAGUGCCUCGGAUACUGCCGGCCUCGAGGGAGGUAGGGGCGUGCGGAACUUCCGGUGGAGCGGUGAAAUGCGUAGAUAUCGGAAGGAACACCGGUGGCGAAAGCGGCGCGCUGGACCUCUUCUGACGCUGAGGCGCGAAAGCCAGGGGAGCGAACGGG
rnacentral:rRNA from 1 species